UGAGUAAUGCCUAGGAGUCUGCCUGGUAGUGGGGGACAACGUUUCGAAAGGAACGCUAAUACCGCAUACGUCCUACGGGAGAAAGCAGGGGACCUUCGGGCCUUGCGCUAUCAGAUGAGCCUAGGUCGGAUUAGCUAGUUGGUGGGGUAAUGGCUCACCAAGGCGACGAUCCGUAACUGGUCUGAGAGGAUGAUCAGUCACACUGGAACUGAGACACGGUCCAGACUCCUACGGGAGGCAGCAGUGGGGAAUAUUGGACAAUGGGCGAAAGCCUGAUCCAGCCAUGCCGCGUGUGUGAAGAAGGUCUUCGGAUUGUAAAGCACUUUAAGUUGGGAGGAAGGGCAGUAAGCUAAUACCUUGCUGUUUUGACGUUACCGACAGAAUAAGCACCGGCUAACUCUGUGCCAGCAGCCGCGGUAAUACAGAGGGUGCAAGCGUUAAUCGGAAUUACUGGGCGUAAAGCGCGGGUAGGUGGUUUGUUAAGUUGGAUGUGAAAGCCCCGGG
rnacentral:rRNA from 1 species